rnacentral:rRNA from 1 species
AGAGUUUGAUCCUGGCUCAGGAUGAACGCUAGCGGGAGGCCUAACACAUGCAAGCCGAGCGGUAUAGUUUCUUCGGAAACUAGAGAGCGGCGUACGGGUGCGUAACACGUGUGCAACUUACCUUUAUCUGGGGAAUAGCCUUUCGAAAGGGAGAUUAAUACCCCAUAAUAUAUUAGAUGGCAUCAUUUGAUAUUGAGAACUCCGGUGGAUAGAGAUGGGCACGCGCAAGAUUGGAUAGUUGGUGAGGUAACGGCUCACCAAGUCAAUGAUCUUUAGGGGUCCUGAGAGGGAGAUCCCCCACACUGGUACUGAGACACGGACCAGACUCCUACGGGAGGCAGCAGUGAGGAAUAUUGGACAAUGGGUGAAAGCCUGAUCCAGCCAUCCCGCGUGAAGGAUGACGGUCCUAUGGAUUGUAAACUUCUUUUGUAUAGGGAUAAACCUAGAUACGUGUAUCUAGCUGAAGGUACUAUACGAAUAAGCACCGGCUAACUCCGUG